rnacentral:rRNA from 1 species
GUCCACGCUGUAAACGAUGAAUACUAGGUGUGCGGGGACUGACCCCCUGCGUGCCGCAGUUAACACAAUAAGUAUUCCACCUGGGGAGUACGAUCGCAAGGUUGAAACUCAAAGGAAUUGACGGGGGCCCGCACAAGCGGUGGAUUAUGUGGUUUAAUUCGAAGCAACGCGAAGAACCUUACCAAGGCUUGACAUUGAUUGAACGCUCUAGAGAUAGAGAUUUCCCUUCGGGGACAAGAAAACAGGUGGUGCAUGGCUGUCGU